rnacentral:rRNA from 1 species
GACGUAGGGCGCGAGCGUUGUCCGGAUUUAUUGGGCGUAAAGAGCUCGUAGGCGGCUUGUCGCGUCGAUCGUGAAAACUCGCAGCUCAACUGCGAGCCUGCGGUCGAUACGGGCAGGCUAGAGUUCGGUAGGGGAGACUGGAAUUCCUGGUGUAGCGGUGAAAUGCGCAGAUAUCAGGAGGAACACCGGUGGCGAAGGCGGGUCUCUGGGCCGAUACUGACGCUGAGGAGCGAAAGCGUGGGGAGCGAACAGG